rnacentral:lncRNA from 1 species
CCUAAUCUAAUUAGGAUUGUAGGAAUCCUACUCCAAGUAGGAAUCCCAGUCCUACUCCAAAUAGGAUUUCCAGUCCAAGUAGGAAUCCCAGUCCAAGUAGGAAUCUCAGUCCAAGUAGGAUUCCUAGUCCUAAUCCAAUUAGGACUCGAGGAAUCCUACUCCAAGUAGGACUCUUGUUUUAAGUCUAAUUAAUUAAUUCUCUUUGUUC